ACACUCCUACGGGAGGCAGCAGUGGGGAAUAUUGGACAAUGGGCGCAAGCCUGAUCCAGCCAUGCCGCGUGAGUGAUGAAGGCCCUAGGGUUGUAAAGCUCUUUUGUGCGGGAAGAUAAUGACGGUACCGCAAGAAUAAGCCCCGGCUAACUUCGUGCCAGCAGCCGCGGUAAUACGAAGGGGGCUAGCGUUGCUCGGAAUCACUGGGCGUAAAGGGUGCGUAGGCGGGUCUUUAAGUCAGGGGUGAAAUCCUGGAGCUCAACUCCAGAACUGCCUUUGAUACUGAAGAUCUUGAGUUCGGGAGAGGUGAGUGGAACUGCGAGUGUAGAGGUGAAAUUCGUAGAUAUUCGCAAGAACACCAGUGGCGAAGGCGGCUCACUGGCCCGAUACUGACGCUGAGGCACGAAAGCGUGGGGAGCAAACAGGAUUAGAAACCCCGGUAGUCCCAUG
rnacentral:rRNA from 1 species